rnacentral:lncRNA from 1 species
AACUUCAUUGGACUCUAUGUAAACUGGAAACCACAUAUCCUGAGGCUGCAUUUAUUGUAGCUGGGGAUUUUAACAAGGCUAAUCUGAAAACAAGGCUCCCUAAAUUCUAUCAGCAUAUCGACUGUGCUACCAGGGCUGGCAAAACCCUGGAUCACUGUUAUUCUAACUUCCGCGACGCAUAUAAGGCCCUCCCCCGCCCUCCUUUCGGAAAAGCUGACCACGACUCCAUUUUGUUGCUUCCAGCCUAUAGACAGAAACUAAAACAGGAAGCACCCGCGCUCAGGUCUGUUCAACGCUGGUCCGACCAAUCGGAUUCCAUGCUUCAAGAUUGCUUCGAUCACGUGGACUGGGAUAUGUUCCGCAUUGCGGCGAACAACAACAUUGACGAAAUACGUUGAGUCGAUGAGCGAGUUUAUUAGCAAGUGCAUCGGUGAUGUUGUACCCACAGCGUCUAUUAAAACAUUCCCCAACCAGAAACCGUGGAUUGAUGGCAGCAUUCGCGCAAAACCGAAAGUGCGAACCACAGCUUUUAAUCAGGGCAAAGUGACCGGAAACAUGAUCGAAUACAAACAGUGUAGCUUUUCCCUCCGCAAGACAAUCAAACAAGCUAAGCAUUUUACAUUUAAGUCAUUUAGCAGACACUCUUAUCCAGAGCAACUUACAGUAGUGAAUGCAUACAUUUCAUUUAAAAAAUUUCCCCCAUACUGGUCCCCCGUGGGAAUCGAACCCACAACCCUGGCAUUAGAAAACACCAUGCUCUACCAACUGAGCCACACGGGACCCACAAGCGUCAGUAUAGAGACAAAGUGGAGUCGCAAUUCAACAGCUCAGACACGAGACUACAAAAGAAAAACCAGCCCCGUCGUGGACCACGAUGCCUUGCUCCCAGACAGACUAAACAACUUUUUUGCUCGCUUUGAGGACAAUACAGUGCGACUAACAUGGCCCGCUACCAAAACCUGCGGUCUCUCCUUCACUGCAGCCAACUGUGAGUAAAACAUUUAAACAUGUUAACCCUCGCAAGGCUGCAGGCCCAGACGACAUCCCCGGCCGCAUCCUCAGAGCAUGCGCAGACCAGCUGGCUGGUGUGUUUACAGACAUAUUCAAUCAAUCCUUAUCCCAGUCUGCUGUCCCCACAUGCUUCAAGAGGGCCAUCAUUGUUCCUGUUCCAAAGAAAUCUAAGGUAACUGAGCUAAAUGACUACUGCCCUGUAACACUCACUUCCGUCAUCAUGAAGUGCUUUGAGAGACUAGUCAAGGACCAUAUCACCUCCACCCUACCUGACACCCUUGACCCACUCCAAUUUGCAUACCGACACAAUAGGUCCACAGACGACGCAAUCGCCAUCACACUGCACACUGCCCUAUCCCAUCUGGACAAGAGGAAUACCUAUGUAAGAAUGCUGUUCAUCGAUUACAGCUCAGCAUUUAACACCAUAGUACCCUCCAAACUCGUCAUUACGCUCGAGACCCUGGGUCUCAACCCCGCCCUGUGCAACUGGUUCCUGGACUUCCUGACGGGCCGCCCCCAGGUGGUGAGGGUAGGUAACAACAUCUCCACCCCGCUGAUCCUCAACACUGGGUCCCCACAAGGGUGCUUUCUCAGCCCUCUCCUGUACUCCCUGUUCACACACAGCUGCGCGGCCAUGCACGCCUCCAAUCAUCAAGUUUGCAGAGGACACUACAGUGGUAGGCCUGAUUACCAACAAUGAUGAGACGGCCUACAGGGAGGAGGUGAGGGCCCUCGGAGUGUGGUGUCAGGAAAAUUACCUCUCACUCAACAUCAACAAAACAAAGGAGAUGAUCGUGGACUUCAGGAAACAGCAGAGGGAGCACCCUCCUAUCCACAUCGACGGGACAGCAGUGGAGAAGGUGGAGAGUUUUAAGUUCCUCGGCGUACACAUCAUGGACAAACUGAAAUGGUCCACCCACACAGACAGCGUGGUGAAGAAGGCGCAGCAGCGCCUCUUCAACCUCAGGAGGCUGAAGAAAUUCGGCUUGUCACCAAAAAUACUCAAAAACUUUUACAGAUGCACAAUCGAGAGCAUCCUGUCGGGCUGUAUCACCGCCUGGUACGGCAGCUGCUCCGCCCACAACCGCAAGGCUCUCCAGAGGGUGGUGAGGUCUGCACAACGCAUCACCGGGUGCAAACUACCUGCCCUCCAGGACAUCUACACCACCCGAUGUCACAGGAAGGCCAAAAAGAUCAUCAAGGACAUCAACCACCUGAGCCACUGCCUGUUCACCCCGCUAUCAUCCAGAAGGCGAGGUCAGUACAGGUGCAUCAAAGCUGGGACCGAGAGACUGAAAAACAGCUUCUAUCUCAAGGCCAUCAGACUGUUAAACAGCCAUCACUAACAUUGAGCGGCUGCUGCCAACAUACUGACUCAACUCCACCCACUUUAAUAAUGUAGAAAUAGAGGAGAGACUAACGAGCUGAUCCACUGAGGAUGGUCUGAGCGGAGCGGAGG